rnacentral:rRNA from 1 species
ACAAGCCUGAGAAAUGGCUAGUAGGACUAAGGUCUGCAGCAGGCGCGAAACUUACACAAUGCUAGAUUUCCGACAUAGCGAUGUAGUGAAGAAAAAUAACGAUGUACUUACAUUUAAACAUGUUAGUACAAUUGGAAUGAGACGACCUUAAACCAGUCAGUCGAGUAACAAAUGGAGGGCAAGUCUGGUGCCAGCAGCCGCGGUAAUUCCAGCUCCAUUAGCAUACAUUAAAGUUGUUGCGGUUAAAAAGCUCGUAGUUGAAUAUUGGGCGGGCUCUAUUGGGAUGCAAUCGUUAAGGUUUUUGGUGUUGGUCAGCCCAUACCAAUAAACUGGUUGUAUUUUCCCUAUAGGAACCCGUUGUUUCGUCACUUAAUCGAGUGCGAAGCGGGCUGGUACUUCAGUGGACCUCGGUCUACAAGUAACAGCAUGUUUACCUUGAGAAAAUUAGAGUGCUCACAGCAGGCAGUUGGGGUGUAAAAGCUCCUUUAUGCUUGAAUAAUGUUGCAUGGAAUAAUAGAAUACGGCCUCGGUUCUAUUCUGUUGGUCUUAUAGAACAACAAACAAGUUGAUUAAAGCGAUCAAAAGUCCGUUUUGAGUGUGGCAUCGCUUCGUAUGAGUCCGUCAAAUUAAUUUAGUAUUGUUGUCUGGGAUCUAAAAAUCUCAGUACCUUGCCAAAUUAAACCUUGGCCCUCUUGCUGGCAAUGCCAUUAAGCACUCUUUAUUGGGCUAGCUUUCUAAUCAACUGAGGCAAUGGUUAAAAGAAAUAGUCGCGGCGGCAUCAGUACUGCAUCGUGAGAG